UACGUAGGGCGCAAGCGUUGUCCGGAAUUAUUGGGCGUAAAGAGCUCGUAGGCGGCCAGUUGCGUCUGCUGUGAAAUCCCGGGGCUCAACCCCGGGCGUGCAGUGGAUACGGGCUGGCUAGAGGCAGGCAGGGGAGAACGGAAUUCCCGGUGUAGCGGUGAAAUGCGCAGAUAUCGGGAGGAACACCGGUGGCGAAGGCGGUUCUCUGGGCCUGUUCUGACGCUGAGGAGCGAAAGCGUGGGGAGCAAACAGG
rnacentral:rRNA from 1 species